rnacentral:rRNA from 1 species
AGUGAACGCUGGCGGUAGGCCUAACACAUGCAAGUCGAACGGCAGCACAGGAGAGCUUGCUCUCUAGGUGGCGAGUGGCGGACGGGUGAGGAAUACAUCGGAAUCUGCCCAGUCGUGGGGGAUAACGUAGGGAAACUUACGCUAAUACCGCAUACGACCUUCGGGUGAAAGAGGGGGAUCGCAAGACCUCUCGCGAUUGGAUGAGCCGAUGUCGGAUUAGCUAGUUAGCGGGGUAAUGGCCCACCAAGGCGACGAUCCGUAGCUGGUCUGAGAGGAUGAUCAGCCACACUGGAACUGAGACACGGUCCAGACUCCUACGGGAGGCAGCAGUGGGGAAUAUUGGACAAUGGGCGCAAGCCUGAUCCAGCCAUACCGCGUGGGUGAAGAAGGCCUUCGGGUUGUAAAGUCCUUUUGUUGGGAAAGAAAUCUUUCAGGCUAAUACCCUGGGAGGAUGACGGUACCCAAAGAAUAAGCACCGGCUAACUUCGUG